UCAACCCAACAGACUUUAUCGACUCUAGUCAAUCAAACGUUCAAUUCUCCACUAAUGAACCAACUGCUAUCAUCAACCCAACAGACUUUAUCGACUCUAGUCAAUCAAAUGGUUCAAUUCUCCACUACUGAACCCACUGCUAUCAUCAGCCCAACCGACUUUA